UUUGCUCCUCAGCCUUUUGGCGAAGAGCAGAUGUAUGUGAUCUUAUCAGUUUAAGAUCUGAUGCUUCUUCUGUCUGGGGCUGCAUCACACAUAGAUUUUUGGAACAGGGAGCUGGGCUAGGGACUUAUUUCAUCCACUAUAUGCAUCACUCCGGUACUGCAGUGUCUCUGCCCCUCUUGACCACAUG
ensembl:snRNA U2 U2 spliceosomal RNA